rnacentral:lncRNA from 1 species
UAAAUUGAAACGGAUGGAGCAUAAACUAUAAAGGUUGACGCUAGUAAGCUCACGACGCAAAAGAAUAUUUGAGACAAAAGAAGGUUGCCGCCCCACACGAAAGUGUUGAUGAUGAAUAAUUCAGACAUCGUCAUUGACGUCGGAAGGCGGCCGUCAAAUCAGCACCGCCUGUUUGGAUUCCCUCCUUCUGUUUGUUCUGCAGACAACAUAACGGCCCUCAUUUCACCUUCCAUAAAAUAUCAAAGCUUUUCUUUUUUCGGCUCCCGCAAAUCUAAAUAUUCUUCGUCCUUCCUCCACGUUUUUCCUCUCGACGUUUCGUGCUAUUAUUCGCUGCUCAUUUUGGCCCCAUUAGUCCUUUCUGUCGCCGCGUGUUGGCUGUAAGAGCUCUGGCUUUCUUGUGUUUUUGCUUAUGUCUAUGGCGGUUAUCUCCAUUUCCUUCGCUAGUUGAAAACUUGAAAUGGACUACAAAAAGGUGUCUUUUUUUGUUUCGUUUUGUUUUUCCGUGGAUGUAAAUGAAAGAAGUCAUGGAGUUUAC